UAAUUAUAACGACUUGGCUAAGGAGGCCAGUCCGGAUAGUGGCUGUUCUCAAAAAUACUAGCUAAUGAAAAACUGAAUACUGUAUGUCCAUAUUAUUUUGUGUAGUUAAUGUGAAAGUAUUUCCUUUCAUCUCUUUGAAAUUUUAUUUAAGGUAGUGUUUACUUCUAUGUCCAGCAGUAUUAUUUCAUUGUGACGAAGAUUUAUGUGUUAUGUGUGUGAAUGCGUGUAACUAAUAUGAUACAAACUGAUGUAGGUUUUAAAGAGUUUCCCGGAGUGCCUUCAAGCAAAUAUAUAACUUCAUUUGAACAAAGGCCUGCUGAAUAAGUGCCCAGCGUUCCAGAAGGCAUUUACAGGAUAUCUUCGUGUCUUAACUACGCAGUGCGCUCCCUGGUGACACAUUUAUACAUCCGGGUGAUAUACUAGCUGACGGCUUUCUAUUUAAUUGCAUGCGGUUCAUUAGAGAUUGUGACAGAAAAGGAAAUGUUACAGUGAUAUGUGAUGCUGAAGUGUUUCUUCGUUUGACACCAGCUCGACAAAGUGGGCGAUCUACCUGCUAGCACGGGACCGCAGGUAGGAGAAGAUGAGCCGACAUCUAUGAAAUUCUAAAUUGCUCUGCAGCAAGCCUCUGGUGACACAUACAGCGUCCAAAGACAGAUGAGUGAAAAGAUGGUUAGAUACUGCAGCCACGAGAAUCAAUGAAGCUUACGUUGCCAACGCUACAGAUAGUGGACCCAGCAUAAAGACGUAUUACAUCACAGCGUUAUAUUUUACGUUUACGUCACUGACGUCAAUAGGAUUCGGAAACGUGUCACCAAAUACUAAUGGAAUUGACAUGCCGGUAAAGAUGAUAUAUUUGGUGGUGAUUGCAGUGACGUGGAAUGCUCGGGAAAAUCGUUCUAUUUUGUACUUGCCCUUAGUUACUGUGAUAUUAACAAGAUAGAGUUACACGUGCUGAAAGAAACAAUGGAUAUAUAACCAGAAUUUUCAAAAAGAAUUAAUGGGUAAAAUACAAGUGCCAUUCAAUCUUAAGAUGCUAAAUUGUGAUCUCUUUUGACAAAAGCUCGACGAAUGGGACCACAGAUCGGAGAAGAUGACCUGACGUCUAGGGCAUUCGAAUUUUCUCCGCUACCAGCAAGUAGUGGUAUAGAUACG